rnacentral:rRNA from 1 species
UGCAGUCGAGGGGCAGCGGGGAGGUAGUAAUACUUCCGCCGGCGACCGGCGCACGGGUGAGUAACACGUAUGGAAUCUGCCCGUAGCAGGGGGAUAAGCGGAAGAAAUUCCGUCUAAUACCGCGUAAUAACUCCGAGAGGCAUCUCCUGGGGUUUAAAGGGUAACACCGGCUACGGAUGGCCAUGCGGCGCAUUAGCUAGUUGGCGGGGUAACGGCCCACCAAGGCGACGAUGCGUAGGGGUUCUGAGAGGAAGGUCCCCCACACUGGUACUGAGACACGGACCAGACUCCUACGGGAGGCAGCAGUGAGGAAUAUUGGUCAAUGGGCGCGAGCCUGAACCAGCCAUGCCGCGUGAAGGUCAGUGCCCUAUGGGCGUUAAACUUCUUUUGUGCGGGAGCAAUAAUGGUCACGUGUGGCCAGACGAGAGUACCGUACGAAUAAGCAUCGGCUAACUCCGUGCCAGCAGCCGCGGUAAUACGGGGGAUGCAAGCGUUAUCCGGAUUUAUUGGGUUUAAAGGGUGCGUAGGCUGUGAGGUAAGUCAGCGGUGAAAUGCCCCCGCUCAACGGGGUGAAGUGCCAUUGAUACUGCCUUGCUGGAAUGCGGAUGCCGUGGGAGGAAUGUGUGGUGUAGCGGUGAAAUGCAUAGAUAUCACACAGAACACCGAUUGCGAAGGCAUCUCACGAAUCCGCGAUUGACGCUGAUGCACGAAAGCGUGGGUAUCAAACAGGAUUAGAUACCCUGGUAGUCCACGCUGUAAACGAUGAUGACUAACCGUC